AUUGAACGCUGGCGGCAGGCCUAACACAUGCAAGUCGAACGAGUGGCGGAAGGGUGAGUAAUGUCUGGGAAACUGCCUGAUGGAGGGGGAUAACUAAUGGAAACGGUAGCUAAUACCGCAUACCAUCAGAUGUGCCCAACGGGGAUUAGCUUGUUGGUGGGGUAACGGCUCACCAAGGCGACGCUCCCUAGCUGGUAUGAGAGGAUGACCCGCCACACUGGAACGGAGACACGGUCCAGACUCCUACGUGAGGCAGCAGUGGGGAAUAUUGCACAAUGGGCGCAAGCCUGAUGCAGCCAGGCCGCGUGUAUGAAGAAGGCCUUCGGGUUGUAAAGUACUUGCAGCGGGGAGGCGUUACCCGCAGAAGAAGCACCGGCUAACUCCGUGCCAGCAGCCGCGGUAAUUC
rnacentral:rRNA from 1 species